ACUGCAAGUAUUGACACUAAAGGCCUUUUUUCUCUUGAUGAUGUUGCUCCUGGUCCUCAUGAUAUUUUCUCUUUUUAAUGAGAAUGCUAAUGCAGAUGUGAUAACCUCAUUAUCCAUGGAGCAGCAUGUUUUAGCAAAAGAAGAUGUUACACUGUCCUGCAACUACAGUGGCAAUAUUCGCAGUUUGCAGUGGUACCGUCAGUAUCCCGCAUCUAAACCUGAGUUUCUCAUUUUUUACACUGAGACCACUGGUCAUUCAGAGCCCAAGCUUCGUCUGUAUGCAAUGGCCGAUAAAGGAAUCAAGCGAAUGAAUCUGAGAAUAUCCUCUACACAUGUGGAUGAUUCUGCUGUUUACUACUGUGCCCUGCAGCCCACAGUGACAGGAAAACUGUCUAUGCCUUACAGAAACUGGAAGUAACAGCAACAGAACAAAUCAAUUAGCAAAUAUCUCAAACAUUUAUACGCUGUUCUUAGGUAGUCUCAUAAUGAUGA